rnacentral:rRNA from 1 species
UACAGAGGGUGCAAGCGUUAAUCGGAAUUACUGGGCGUAAAGCGCGCGUAGGUGGUUUGUUAAGUUGGAUGUGAAAGCCCCGGGCUCAACCUGGGAACUGCAUCCAAAACUGGCAAGCUAGAGUACGGUAGAGGGUGGUGGAAUUUCCUGUGUAGCGGUGAAAUGCGUAGAUAUAGGAAGGAACACCAGUGGCGAAGGCGACCACCUGGACUGAUACUGACACUGAGGAGCGAAAGCGUGGGGAGCGAACAGG